GACGAACGCUGGCGGCGUGCUUAACACAUGCCAGUCGAACGAUGAUCUCCCGCUUGCGGGGGUGAUUAGUGGCGAACGGGUGAGUAAUACGUGAGUAACCUGCCCUUUACUCUGGGAUAAGCCUGGGAAACCGGGUCUAAUACUGCAUACUACUUCCUGCCGCAUGGUGGGGGGUGGAAAGGGUUUUACUGGUUUUGGAUGGGCUCACGGCCUAUCAGCUUGUUGGUGGAGUAAUGGCUUACCAAGGCGACGACGGGUAGCCGGCCUGAGAGGGUGACCGGGCACAAUGGGACUGGGACACGGCCCAGACUCCUACGGGGGGCAGCAGUGGGGAAUAUUGCACAAUGGGCGGGAGCCUGAUGCAGCGACGCCGCGUGGGGGGUGACGGCCUUCGGGUUGGAAACCUCUUUCAGCAGGGAAGAAGCCGCAAGUGACGGUAACUGCAGAAGAAGCGCCGGCUAACUACAUG
rnacentral:rRNA from 1 species